AGAGACGGGAUUUUUGCUGGAAAAUAUUCUAAUUGUGUAAUAAUAUAUAUAAAUUGUGUUUUGUGAUAAGGUAGUGAGGAUUGUGGAGGAGACUAGCUCACAAGAAUGCAUUCAGUGUUGAAUACGGAUUUAGGAAGGUGUAGCCUGAUAACAAUAAUAGAGGGAUAUUUGGACGUGUUAAGUGUGAUUUGUUGCAAUACUAAGCAAUGUGGAUAGAGGGAUUAUGCAGUAUAGCUAGGUUAGUAUAUGAAGAGGAAGGUGAUUAAUGGUUGUUGGAUGAUAAGGGAAAUUGAUUGAAUUCCG